ACUUAGAAACAGAAGGGAGCCCUUCAGAUAGGAGGCAGGGGAGUUGGGAAUCUCAACAGGUGCAGGGGGAGGGCCCAGUACCUGGCAGAGAGCCAGAAAAGGGCAGAGGGCAGAGGCAGGAAUAGUGUGUGAAUGAAGAGGCAGGUGGUCAGUACAAACGAGGUUAGGUAGGGAAGGUGCUGGCACCAGGAGAAGGACAGAAAGACAAGAGAUUCCCAAAUGGGCAGGAGUGAGCCCCCAUUUAGGGAUAUAAGGGCUGAAGCCUUAUAUUUUCUCCUCCGUUGAGGGAGGAAAUGGUGGUAGGGUUGGUGGGACAAGAAUGACAGUUCCAUUGAGAAAGUCCUCUCCACAGUGCAGGCUGUUGGUAGCGCCCAGGCCUGGACUGGGAGGGGGACCAUCCUCCACUGUUCCUUGACUGCUAAGUGUAGAGGUUCCCUGCUUGAGCUUGCUCUCCCCACGGGCAACUUCUCCAUCUUAGAAGCACUCACUUUCAUCCCCAGAGGGCCUCUAGUCCUGAAGCUACUCGAUUUUGUCUUUGGAAUGGGCGUUUUCACAUGGGUCUCUGAUCUGGGAUUCAGAGUACAGUACAGGUACAGUACAGCGCAUCUUCUUUCCAGAAAAAGAAGUGUAACGUACACAGGGAGUGGCAACGUGGCCCACCUCCCUCCCUUUUGCCUUCUAAUUGGUCUUGCUCCGCCCUGAGGAUGGCAAAGGGGGCUCUCUUCCCACCUGGUGCAAAGCACAGCCCCAAGCAAAGAUGCCCUCUCCCUCUCAACUUGCUAGAUUUGUGUUUCUCAACUCUCUCAGUUAGAGAAGGUAAUUAACUGUUUGGGUUUAAAAGCCCUCCUGCUGGGCUGCAGUCUGCGUGGGAGAAUAAAAGUAAACAAGCGAAAGGGAACGGUGUCAUCAAAGGACUCUGCACCCUUAUAAGGAUGAAAAGGCUGCUAUUUGCCACAGGUGCCACGGACAACCGCACCCCGCCUCCUUAAGAGCAGGGUCUGUGGGCCUUUCAUUCUUCUUGAAGGUAAGUCAAGAGUGAUUGGGUCAUCAUGUAAAAACCUGCCAUGGUUUCAGAUGCCCAUCAGCUAACAGCCAUGUCACCUGGCCUGGCCUGAGCCGUUCUAGUGUGAUGUCACAACUGUUCUAGCUGAUGACACCCUGUAGUUCACAAGCCCCCUUGAGAUACAUUGCUAGUAACUAAUCCAAACUGUCCCCUACUCUAAGUAUUAAGAACCAGUUUUUUUUGUUUUUUUUUUUUUUAAGAACCAAUUUUCUUAAAAAGCCAAAGCUUCACUUCUAUGUGGGGAAACAUCUACUUUCCUGCCCAUCACAAUUUUGGAGGUGAAUCAGGCCCACUUCUCCCCUCAGCUGCGCUAAGGUGGGUCACACAGGAGCUCCGCUGCGCCCACGGUGCCGCUGGGAAAUUCCUGUCUCCGUGCCAACUGCUUCCACAACACUUCUCUAAGGUGCUGACACAAAGAAUCUUGUCUCCAAGCUGGGAGACUCGGGGACAGCAGAAUGGCUGCCAUCUAAUUUAUAGACGUUCCUGGUGACUUUUUUACCUUUGGGUGACCGCAUAAGGAAACCAGGAGUAGAAAAGUACUCAUGUAAAUAAUCACAUACAACUGAAGGUACAGCAUCCACAUUUAAAUCAGCAAGGCCCCAUUUCCAACCCCAGAGCAUGUGCCAUUAUUACAGACAAGGCCACACUCAGCUGUUCUUCCAGCCUCCACUGCUCCUCUUAAAAGAAACA